rnacentral:rRNA from 1 species
UACGAAGGGGGGCUAGCGUUAAUCGGAAUUACUGGGCGUAAAGCGUGCGCAGGCGGUUUUGUAAGCCAGAUGUGAAAUCCCCGGGCUUAACCUGGGAAUGGCAUUUGGGACUGCAAGGCUGGAGUGCGGCAGAGGAGACUGGAAUUCCUGGUGUAGCAGUGAAAUGCGUAGAUAUCAGGAGGAAUACCGAUGGCGAAGGCAGGUCUCUGGGCUGACACUGACGCUCAUGCACGAAAGCGUGGGGAGCAAACAGG